rnacentral:rRNA from 1 species
AAUGAACGCUGGCGGCGCGCCUAAUACAUGCAAGUCGAGCGAGAGGACGUAGCAAUACGUUUGUAAAGCGGCGAACGGGUGAGGAAUACAUGGGUAACCUACCCUCGAGUGGGGAAUAACUAGCCGAAAGGUUAGCUAAUACCGCGUACGCUUCCUGGACUUCGGUUCAGGGAGGAAAGCGAUGCCGAGGGUAUCGCGCUCUUGGAUGGGCUCAUGUCCUAUCAGCUUGUUGGGAGGUAACGGCUCACCAAGGCUUCGACGGGUAGCUGGUCUGAGAGGACGAUCAGCCACACUGGCACUGCGACACGGGCCAGACUCCUACGGGAGGCAGCAGUAAGGAAUAUUGCGCAAUGGGCGAAAGCCUGACGCAGCGACGCCGCGUGGGGGAUGAAGGUCUUCGGAUU